rnacentral:rRNA from 1 species
UACGUAGGGUGCGAGCGUUGUCCGGAAUUACUGGGCGUAAAGAGCUCGUAGGUGGUUUGUCGCGUCGUCUGUGAAAUUCCGGGGCUUAACUCCGGGCGUGCAGGCGAUACGGGCAUAACUAGAGUACUGUAGGGGAGACUGGAAUUCCUGGUGUAGCGGUUAAAUGCGUAGAGAUCGGAAAGAACACCGGCGGCGAAAGC